rnacentral:rRNA from 1 species
AGCAGCAGCCGCGGUAAAACGUAGGUCCCGAGCGUUGUCCGGAUUUAUUGGGCGUAAAGCGAGCGCAGGCGGUUAGAUAAGUCUGAAGUUAAAGGCUGUGGCUUAACCAUAGUAUGCUUUGGAAACUGUUUAACUUGAGUGCAGAAGGGGAGAGUGGAAUUCCAUGUGUAGCGGUGAAAUGCGUAGAUAUAUGGAGGAACACCGGUGGCGAAAGCGGCUCUCUGGUCUGUAACUGACGCUGAGGCUCGAGAGCGUGGGGAGCGAACAGGAUUAGAUACCCCUGUAGUCCCUGUCUCUUAUACA